UAACAGGAGAGCAGCAGUACGAUUUUGCCGA
rnacentral:piRNA from 1 species